UGCCCCCGCAGGGUUCCCCUUUUCCUCCCCGCUGGGAUGAAGUGUCUAUGGAAUCUGGGAUCUGGGUGAAACUGCAGCUCUGCUGGUAUCCAGGGACGUGAGGUUCCGGGGGACUGCGUUUCCCUGUGGCUUUCCAGGUCGGCAGCAGCCGGAGGAAAUGGGGUGCCAGAGCCGUGCCCCAUCAGGCCGUGUUUGCCUCUGAGGAACAGAGAGUCCGGGCUGAGGGAGAAGAGGACGAACUCCCAGCCAUUCAGGCCUGACAGUCCCCUGCAGCGAGAGCUCAGCACGCAUCCCCAGAGGCAAGUCCAGCAGGAGAAAGAAGGAAAAAAGGUGAUUUCUUUUGCUUGCAAGUCCUUUCCAGUUCUGAAAGCCCAGCCAACAUUUGCUCUUGAUUGUGGUCGGGUGAAGCACGAGCAGCGGGCACGGGUCGUGCCGUGGAUGGAGCCGCAAAGCCCGGGGUCAUUGAGAGGGGACACGAGAGGUGUUUGUGUAGGAAAAUGCCGAGGGGAUGUCCAGGGGAGCGAGGAGGCAUUUCUGAGGGGAUUGCCGAGGGAGGUGAAGGGAGCCCGGCAGAGAAUUUCUCUGGGAAAUUUCUGCGAGGGCCCUGGGGAGCGCAGCCAGGGCUCUCCAGGGCUAGCAGGCAGGGCUGAGCCCUUGGGACUCUGCGUGUCCUCCUUCCCUGGCAGCAGCCGGCGAGGAAGGGAGGAGAGGCUCCGUGUGGGAUGAGGCCCACAGGAGAAAGCGAGCAGGGGAGCGGCCUGGGGCUGGAGAGGGGCAGGAGAAAGGCAAAGGGACCUCGCUGGGGUCACAGACUGGACACUUGGAUGAGCAGUGCAGGUGAGGAGUGGAUCGGAGUUCACCUGCAGGGAAAGAGGGAGGGGAUCUUUUGGAGGGAGAGGCUGAGGCAAUAAUGAGUUCGCAGUCCUCGGCCCAAGCUGUGUUUGCACAAAGUGGGAGCAGAGGUGAAGGGCGAUCCAAAGGCAGCCCUGCUUGUCCUCUGACUUGUUUAUAAGUUUUAAUGUUUCAUUUUGCAGCUUCUGUAAAUAUUAAAAAAAAAUGAGAACAAGAGCA